GCACCACCAGCGUGUUGCUCACUGCUUUCUGUAUGCAGAAGCCUGCUGGGAAAGCUCUGCAGCAGCUCUGGUUGCAGCUGGCUGGGCACCUGGCUUGCUGGGCUUGGAGCUGGCUGAGGCUGGUACCUCCCGGAUGGGGCUGCAAGCAUUGGCUCUUUAAGUUUUUCAGAAAGGUGGCUUCUCCAGGGCUCUGCUCCUUGCCAAGCUGUACUUUAGCCAGUAAAUGAAAGAACUGAGUAAUGGCUGCGUGCUGACAAAAGUCAUAACCCAAAUGACGACAGUGUGUAGGACUCCAAACCACAACUAUUCCUAGCAAAUGAUCCCAAACUACUAAUGUCUGGAGCCCUGAAGACCCAUGUUGGGUUAGACAAAUCUCCUAACCUACCAUAAUGACACCAGCCAGCAGCAAAUCGCCUCCCAGAAGCGAGCAGCCAUGUAAUCAGCUGAGCAUGGGAACCACAGGUUCAGACGUCUCUGGUUACCAGAGACACAGACUUGGGCUCUGGCCAACCUUUUGGCUCAGGUUGGAAGCGGGACAGUGGCCGUAGUGCUCUGGGAAUGCUGGUGGGAGGACCAUGAGGAUGAAAUCCAGCAGUCACCGCCUGGCCCACGUGCUCUGAGGUGGUGCUGAGUGAAUCCCGGGCAUGUGCUGCUCCGCCUGCUGUCCCCGCUGCCUUACUGACAGGGAGGCACCUGGAGCUGGGGCCUCUUCUUGUCCUGCUUCAAAACUGUAAUUUCAGGGCAACUGAAUCACCGAAACUUUCGGGUGGAUUUGUGCACGUUUGCUUUGCUUGGGAAAAUAACAAAACCUAGCAGAGCAUUUAAUUUCAGCACUUCCAAAAUGAAAAAUUCCACUUUGGCUCAAGUGAAAUGUACUUUUAAAUACAAUUAUCUCUGUUUUAAUUUAGCUCCUCUCCCUCCAAAACAAAAUGUUGAGUUUGAAC